UAAACCUAUAUGAAUGGGUGACAACGAAAGGACAAGGCUUCAUUAAGUAGGAGGACCACGUUUUAAAAAGGCAACAACUUUGCCCCAGACAAAUAGAAUGAUUGACUAUGGGACAAGAUGGACAAACUAAAAUGGGAGAGAAAUCAAUAAUGGAUUACUAAAACAUGGGUGUAACUCAGAGAAUCGGUUAUAAGAAACAAAGAUAUUUCUUAUUUUACGGGAAUCACCGAACAAUGUUAAAUCAGUGACAAAAACAAGAGACAAACAAACCCAUUCAUUUACUUCACCCUGGGGCUGCUUUAGAUUUAGGCCUUUGAUGUGGUUUACGCAGCCUCACACGUAUAGUAUACGGAGACAGUGGCAGGCAUGAAGGGUUCUGGAGCUGGACCCACAAUAUCUUCAAGGUCUGAAAGCUGAGAAGUACAAUGUCAAGGGACUACAUCAGGUGAAAGUCUUCUUGCUGGUGGGAACUUUCUACAGAAUCUCCAGG
rnacentral:lncRNA from 10 species